rnacentral:rRNA from 1 species
GAUGAACGCUGGCGGCGUGCCUAAUACAUGCAAGUCGAGCGAACCACUUCGGUGGUGAGCGGCGAACGGGUGAGUAACACGUAGGUGAUCUGCCCAUCAGACGGGGACAACGAUUGGAAACGAUCGCUAAUACCGGAUAGGACGAAAGUUUAAAGGUGCUUCUGGCACCGCUGAUGGAUGAGCCUGCGGCGCAUUAGCUAGUUGGUAGGGUAAAGCCUACCAAGGCGACGAUGCGUAGCCGACCUGAGAGGGUGAACGGCCACACUGGGACUGAGACACGGCCCAGACUCCUACGGGAGGCAGCAGUAGGGAAUCUUCGGCAAUGGGCGAAAGCCUGACCGAGCAACGCCGCGUGAAUGAUGAAGGCCUUCGGGUUGUAAAAUUCUGUUAUAAGGGAAGAACGACUUUAGUAGG